rnacentral:tRNA from 1 species
GAGCCAUUAGCUCAGUUGGUAGAGCAUCUGACUUUUAAUCAGAGGGUCAAAGGUUCGAAUCCUCUAUGGCUCACUA